GUGCUUGCUUUGGCAGCACAUAUACUAAAAUUGGAAUGAUACAGAGAAGAUUAGCAUGGCCCUUGUGCAAAGAUGACACACAAAUUUGUGAAGCAUUUCAUAUUUUU
ensembl:snRNA U6 U6 spliceosomal RNA